AGCAAAGAAGGUGUAUAAGACCAUUAACUUUACUUUUUAUAGUGUUUUUUGGAAGAAAUUUGUGUUAUUUUUUCUAGUUAUUUAUUGUAUGAUGUCACUUCCUGUUUGGGUCACUUCCGGGGGAUUUCAGGAGCUGCUGUUUUGCUUGUCAGGAGGCUAGUCAAGCUCAUCCACCUCCAUCCUAGGCACAUUUCAAUGAGGCAAUGCCUUUUCACCUCAAUGUUAAUGAGGAAGAGUGAGUAAAUGGUCAAGCUUA